CUAAGGUAAAAGGUUGCGAAGUCGAUAGGGGAAAAAUAAUGUGAAAAUGAAUUCUUUCCCAAAAGAAUCUGAACGACGGAAAGUGUGGAUUAAAAAUAUAGGGUUAAAACAAGAUCCAAACAAAUAUGCUGUUGUUUGUGAAGAACACUACUUCUGACAUGUGGAAAAAAGUUGGCAAGAUGGCAGCAGAAAAUUAAAAUGCAAUGCUGUACCAACAAUAUUUAGAGAAGAAAGCGAAAGUAUUUAAUUAUUUAUAUUGGUUUUUUGUUUAUUCACCAAUUUAACACCUAUAGAUAUUUGUAUAACAAGAGAGCGAAGUGCACCUUUUCCUCCCAAGAAUAAAGUGUACUAGUUUACUACAGUAAUCAUUCAAGGGAGGAAAAGGCACUUCUCCCAUGUUAUACAUUUUUCCACCUCCCUCAAAUAAGUCAUUUUUCCAUUUUUAAAAUAUUUAUAUAACUGUUGAUUGAAUACAUGAAUCAUAAUUGAAUACAGGAAUUUAUGUAUUCAAUCAACAAUAGAACUAACAAAAUUUAUUAGAGAACUAAAACUAACAAGUAGGUACAGUAUAACUAUCAAAUUAUUAAUGAAAAAUUUUUAAAUCAAAAUAACAAUUUACUGUUUUUACCAUUUUGCAACAUCUAUAAAUAAAAUUUAAAAUGUAUGGAUACUUACCUAAUACAAAAUAGAGUAAUAGUAUAGGGUGUCAAUAAGUUAUUUCAUCUAUGCUAUGACAUAGUAUGACGUCAACAUCACUUACUUUUACUCCCUAGGGAUUAAAAGUACUUUGUUUCCCUAGGGAGAAAAAAUAUGACUAUGCUCCCUACAAUGAGGCCAGGAAAUGUAUACUUUGGAUAGAGGUAGGUGGGAAAAUCUGUUUUAUUCAGUUAUUGUGAUUUGUUUCUUACAAUCAGUUUGUUCUAGCACGAGUUUCAAACGGUCUGAAACCAUUAGCGAAUAGUGGACCAGCACGAGUAGAGGGGAUAGCACUCGUAACUGUAUUAUGUUCUCUCACUGACCAACUGUUUGCUGACUAGUUCGACUGUUUGCUAGAACAAACCUAUUAUUCAAACAAAAUGUCCUCUACGUCAGACUGAUCAGAAUUUUAAAAAUGUGUCAUAUCAAUCAAAUCAAAAAAUUUAAAAAAUUGUUCCUGUAACCAUUUUUAGUGGAAAUAAUAACAGUACUUAUAUUGGAUCAGAGAGCCACCCAAUUCAUUGUUAAAGUAUGAUAAACUAAAAGUUAAACAAUUAGGCAUGCACUUCAUAUUAUAUUUAAUGAAAUAUAACCCACUGGUACUCGUACAAACUUGACGGCAAGCAAAUUCAACAAUUUUUUCCUCAUUUAUUAGUUUUUCACUACCGUUAAGUUUGGAAACAAGCGCUGUUGCCAAAUAAAAACAUAUACAGUCGGAAAAAUGAAAGAAUACCCAUGAACGAUCACAUCAAUCACAUAUUUUGUAUUUGCUGUUUUUUUUUUCAUAAAUAAUAAAUGAGAGAGAUAGAUUAUUAAUAAUCUGAAUAAUAUGUGAUUGAUGUGAUCGUUCAUGGGUAUUCUUUCAUUUUUUCGACGGUAUGUAUUUACCACAGCAACUACAGGUGACACUGUUUCUCUUUGUCUUUAAGAGUGUGAAACAAAGAUAACUACAGUGGGAAAAAUAAAGAAUACCCAUGAACGAUCACAUCGAUCACUUAUUUUGUGUUUCCUAUCUUUUUCUAUAACAAACGUUUAUUAUUAUUAGAAAAAGACAACAAACAUAAAUUAAGUGAUUGAUGUGAUCGUUCAUGGGUAUAGGGCUUUUCAUUCACAGUCAUUUGUUUCGAGCUUCUGUCAUGUGUCACAUAAUAUUAAUAUAUCUACGUCAUACGUUAUUGAUAUAACCAAUGAUACAAACCAAAGACGUAUGACGUAGAUAUAUUAAUAUUGUGUGACACAUGACAGAAGCUCGAAACAAAUGACAAUCGAUGAAAAGCCCUAUCCUUUCAUUUUUCCAACUGUAUCUGUAAUAUACGCUGAGCUCAUAGGUAGAGGGGAUAAUUAAAAAAUCGCGAGAGCCAGUAGUGACAAGUCUGUAAACCUUUACUGGAAAUUUGACAUAAAUGUCAAAGUGAAUAAUUUAAAAUUGAAAUUAAAAACAUUAAUUAGAAAAAAUAUUAGUUGGUCAAAGCUGUGGUAUAUAUUUUUAUCUUAAGUAUACUUACGGUUUAAAUACUGAAUUAAGUUUUUUUAAUAUUUUGUAAUAUCUAAUUAUAAUUAGAUAUAAAUCAUCUAAGCGCCAUCUACACGAUAAUUGUGAAUGUAUCUGAAGUAAGAAAUUAAUAUUUCAUUAAGAGAAUGUUAAAACAGUUAGCAAAAUUUUUAAAAAAUCGAUUACAAUUUAAUUACUUUUUUGCGUUGUAAAUAUUAAGCGAUAAAAUUAAAUAAUAAAUUUAAAAAUUACUGGUGAAAGUUGAAUUAGUAAUCCGCUAGGAGCGACACCAGCGAAGUUCAGAGCGUAUAAGUGGGUGCGUUUGGACGACCAUAGCGGAUGACUGUCAGCAGAAAUCGGCUGAGUGGUUGUAUCCAGCUUUGAUAGGGAAAGCUUAGUAAAUCUCUCAGCGGCUGACUUCCAGCGGUGACGUCUGACAGCUACUGCUAGCUCAGCUGUCCAACCGCUGUGGUCAUCCGAACGCACCCAGUGUCAGUCAUGUUUUCCUAUAGUAUAGAAGGCUUAGAUAGAAGGUUAUGUAAGAUUUUUGUUUGUUUAUUUUUUCUUCUUCUUUUGUGGCCUUUGGAAGCUGUGCCCAUUUAGCCAGCAACAUUUCUUAAAAUUAAUGCCUAACUAAACCUACCAUACAAGAAAACCAUCUAUAAAUGUAAAUAACCCAAAGUUAUUUAAAAAAUAAACCGUUGUUAAAAUAUAAACUAUACAAAUCAAAUAUAAAUUGAAAACAAUAAUUUGACAUUAUAAAUGUAACCUCCAAUAUUAUGACAGACGUCAGUUACCAUGACAUCAUAUAUUAUACUCGUCACUAAUUCUAGCCAAUGAAAUGCUUGCUGUAAUAGGAGUGGCAUAUCAAAAAAAUCUGACUAUUCUCUAUAUAUUUUUUCAAAUUUAGAAUAUGGCAACAAGGGGAAAGUUAUGUGCAUUCCUCAUUGUUUGACUUUUCCUAUAUCUUUAGUAUCAGGUCAUCAUCAUAGAGGUAUAUAUUAACAUAGAGGGAGCCUACAUUCCGCGCUUCCUGACGACAAGAUCUCAGGGGACUGGUUUGCUGCAUCUCCUUCUAACACAUUGUAUCGAGAAUCUAUAAUGACAUUCAGUGUGAACAUAGGCACGGAAGAGGAGGACAACUGUAGCAGCUUUACUAUGCGUAAGAGUGAAACAGCACUAAUCCAAAUAAAAAAGAUGGUGUCGUCAUUUCGCUCUGAAUGACACUCUCUCUAUGCUAAUAUUUAACUCUAUGGUCAUCAUACAAUACAAAUACUUCCUGCAAUGAUUGGAAGUAAUGCAGAACAAGAAUUGAAUUUGUAAUCGCUGAGAAAAAGGAUUGGUGUACAAAAUAAGAAAGUAUAUAAAGGACAACAAACAUCUUCCAUAAGCAAUCAAAAUUGUAUAACUGAAAUUCAGGAAAUAGAUUCUGCUCCACCUUUAGGUAUAAAAAAUAUUUUGACGUUUUUUUUAUUUAAUACACAAUUUAAUUUACCAUCUGAUCAUGAAGCUAUAAGUAAAUGGUGUGAAUGUUGAACACAUGAGGUAGAAGCUGCCAUGUGGCAACUCUCCUGUAUAAUAUAUUUUAUAUUAGUUCACAUAAAUAGUUAAUUUAUUAAGUCUGUUGGCCAUGGUUUCUUCAGUCACCGUUCAAAUCCAGGAGGGGUAUUUAGCAGUCUUGAUUCGUUACUUGGAUGAUCCGUUGUCCAUCAAGGAAGUUUCUUGUGAUUAUUCUAAUUUCUUCCUCUACCAAGGAUGUGGCAGAGUCAUCUUGUAUAGGGUUUUGUUCAAGUGUAAACACUUUUUUGCGCCAGUCCAGAGCUGUCUGCCAGCGCUGUCUUGAAUAGAAAGGUGGUCUAUUUUUCAUGCCACUGGCAUUCCAGUGAGACUGGCACCAGUUUCUGGAUACAUGUAAACGUUACUUUAUUUUAUGUAAAUAUUAUUUUUAUUCUAGAAUCAAAGGGAGACUCUUUUAACAGGUAAAUGACGCUAUCAUUCUUUUUGUUCUAGAAAAACUGUAAAUAGUAUUUAAGGCAACGAUUGUGAAUGAGUGAGAAGUCUAAUAAAGCCACGACGAGAUACUGUAUCAGAGCGUACGAUUUGGAGGUAUUUUUGAUUAGAUAAAUUUUGUAAAGUACAAUAUAAAUUAGAUUUGAUAAUGUGUAGUAUUUCCUAAUAAAUUAAAUACUAUUAAGUGUUUAUUGUUCGUGUAAGUUAGUGUGGUAAAUAAAUAAUAUGAAGUAAG